rnacentral:lncRNA from 1 species
CGAAAGGGGAGUUCAAGGAGACGGGGGCGACGCGGCUGAGGGCUUCUCGUCGGGGUCGGGGCUGCAGCCGUCAUGCCGGGGAUAGUGGAGCUGCCCACUCUAGAGGAGCUGAAAGUAGAUGAGGCAGAUAAAACGUCACUGUGCAGAGCCUUUUACAGAAUAUUGGACUUGCAUUGAUUAUACUGGCCAGCAGUUAUUUCGUCACUGUCGCAAACAGCAGGCAAAGUUUGACGAGUGUGUGCUGGACAAACUGGGCUGGGUGCGGCCUGACCUGGGAGAACUGUCAAAGGUCACCAAAGUGAAAACAGAUCGACCUUUACCGGAGAAUCCCUAUCACUCAAGACCAAGACCGGAUCCCAGCCCUGAGAUCGAGGGAGAUCUGCAGCCUGCCACACAUGGCAGCCGCUUUUAUUUCUGGACCAAGUAAAGAUGGGUCCGUGGCCCACACUCGGUCAUGUGCUCAGACAACGACUGAUGAAAACGCCCAUGCGGUUUGCAUCGACUGAUAGUGUGUUCUUUCCGGGAUCACAAACAUUAACAAAAAAGUUAACUUAUGUGACUUGGCA